UUUCACUCUAAACUCUGCGUACCUCUUUCUCUCUGUGUCGUCCAUUGAAGCGGGUUUCUGAGCUUUCUGUCUCUAUGGAAGCAGCUUCUCAGAAUCUCAGCCUAAUCGAGUGCUGAGCUGAAAUUGGUUGAGAGACUAUUCGAGCCUGAGCCGAGCUUAGCUUGGGAUUUUGAGGCGACGCGAGUCUUGAUGAGCUUUGAAUUCUAGCCGCGCCUGCCUAUACUUUAACACCCCAGGAUUGAUUGAACACCUCUUAAAAAGUUUGAUUUUAGGGUUCCAGAAGAAGGAUGGACCUGUACAUAUUUUUCCAUGAGAUUGUUUUGGAGGGAAGCAUUGAUACGCUAUAUAAAGUAAAGCUGCCAUCUUUUGACAAAAUAAACACAGAGAAAUCAACUGAGCUUUUAACUCCAAUGUUGGUGUUACCUAAAGACAAGUACCCAUUCUCUAUGGGAUGUGUACAUUUCAAUUCCAAAGUCUAUUUUUUCGGGGGCUUGUCUCGCCACCCCUUCGAAAUUGAAGAUAACAGUGCGAAUGUUGGACGCGAUUUCACAGCUGAUGUUUAUCCUUGUGACGCUUAUGUUUUGGACCUUACUGAUAAUGAUCUUGUGCUGAAUAGAGUUCCGAAGACUGGGAAACCAAGUACUUUCGGGUUUGUGGCAGGUGGGAUGAUCUGUCAUCGGGGGAAAAGUUAUGAGGUCCUGUAGAUUUUCAGACAGCAAGAUUAAAUGCUUUGAGCGGUACAAUCCUGUUUCUAUGACAUGGCAAGUUCUAGACGACAUCCCCCUCCGAGGUCUAUGUCAAUGCUUUGGAGCUUCUGUUGUUGAAAACCAGCACAAGGUCUUAAUUAGUGGGUGGAAAGAUGCAGACAUAGUUUUUCUUGUAUACGACUUCCUCCAUGGUACUUGGGACUCUGAAAACCUUUUGAUCUCUUGUAAUUACGGUCGUAAAACUUAUACUAUUAGCCACAUUAGUGUUUCUGAUUUUAAUGGACAAGGACAUUAUUUGUAUGGCCUACGGUCUUGUGAAACCGGCGCUCUGCCCAUUAAGUUGGGACCUCUGAAAGAGUUAAAGGUUAAACAGAUGCGCAAGCUUUCAAAAGUUGAUGUGUCCACACAUGACGGUCGGAAUAUUCGAGGUGUUUUCCGUCAGAUUGGGCGUUUUACCCUCAAUGAGAUGUUGUACUUUGGUGAUGGGCAUUUCUGUUAUGUGGGUAUUGCACAACAUGAACCUGGUGAUUUUGGUGAUGAUUUUAGCGGCCCUUUUUCCACAAAUCCGCGGCAUGUAUCUUACCAUUUUUAAGGAUCUUUCUAAUCCAGUUGCAUUUCAACAAGGCUCCUCUUUUGAAGCUAAAAUUUUGUCUGUCAAGAAUUAUGUCAUGAACACAAAUUAUUAUGGUGGUGUCAAUAUUGGAAGCUGCUUUGUCGCUGGCCAUGAUUGAGAGGAGUUUAUUGAAGGUGAUUUCUAGUUAGUAAGUGGCAUAUCAAUUCGUUUAUUCAAGGUACGUAUGAGUUACGAAACCUUGCCUUCAUAAGCAUGUUUAGGAACAAAACGAGAACUUAGUAUCAUGUAUAGAGAAGACUGAGAAUAAUUGUUUGGUUAUACAUUGUGAUUUCCGUAUGAUGUGCACUAUUUUACUUUGCAAAUAUUAUUUAUGCAUUAACUUUGCAAGAUGCGCUUAGAGACAAAGGUAGUAAUGGAAGAAUUCAAGUCUUAUAAGACGAGGUUAAGGUUUUGGGGUGCCUUAUGC